rnacentral:misc_RNA from 1 species
GAUGAAGAACGUAGCGAAAUGCGAUAAGUAAUGUGAAUUGCAGAAUUCAGUGAAUCAUCGAGUUUUUGAACGCAUAUUGCGCCCUCUGGUAUUCCGGGGGGCAUGCCUGUUCGAGCGUCAUUAAAUAACCCUCAAGCAUAGCUUGGUGUUGGGCUUUUUUACGUCCUUGACUGGGAUGGGCCUAAAAAUUAGUGGCGAUGGCUUUUUUACUUUCAAGCGUAGUAAAUCUCGUCUUGCUAAAGAGGAAAAAGAUUUUUUUUCUGCCAAAAAUUUUAACAUUUAAAGUUGACCUCGGAUCAGGUAGGAUUACCCGCUGAACUUAAGCAUAUCAAUAACGGAGGA